GACGAACGCUGGCGGCGUGCUUAACACAUGCAAGUCGAACGGAAAGGCCCUGCUUUUGUGGGGUGCUCGAGUGGCGAACGGGUGAGUAACACGUGAGUAACCUGCCCUUGACUUUGGGAUAACUUCAGGAAACUGGGGCUAAUACCGGAUAUGAGCUCCUGCUGCAUGGUGGGGGUUGGAAAGUUUCGGCGGUUGGGGAUGGACUCGCGGCUUAUCAGCUUGUUGGUGGGGUAGUGGCUUACCAAGGCUUUGACGGGUAGCCGGCCUGAGAGGGUGACCGGCCACAUUGGGACUGAGAUACGGCCCAGAGUACUACGGGAGGCAGCAGUGGGGAAUAUUGCACAAUGGGCGGAAGCCUGAUGCAGCAACGCCGCGUGCGGGAUGACGGCCUUCGGGUUGUAAACCGCUUUCGCCUGUGAAGAAGAGUGAGUGACGGUAAUGGGUAAAGAAGCACCGGCUAACUACGUG
rnacentral:rRNA from 1 species